rnacentral:tRNA from 1 species
GAGGAUAUAGCUCAAGUGGUAGAGUGCAUGUCUAGCACGCACAAGGUCCUGGGUUCAAUCCCCAGGACCUUUU